UGCUCUGUGUUGAACAUGGCUACAAGCCCCUUUCGAUAUUUUAUUUCCCUUUUUCUGCUUUUGCUCUGUUUCGAAGCCUGUUUGAGGGUGGGUGAUGCUAAAGAUGGGUGCAGAGAGAGGGAGAGGCAAGCUCUCCUUCACUUCAAACAAGGUGUUGUCGAUGACUAUGGAGUGCUUUCUUCAUGGGGGAAUGGGGAAGACAAAAGAGAUUGUUGCAAAUGGACAGGAGUGGAGUGUAACAACCAGACGGGUCAUGUGAUCAGGCUUGAUCUUCAUGACCAAUCUUUGGGAGGAAUUCUUCCCACUCAACUUGGAAAUCUUUCCAACUUGCAAUCCCUUGAUCUUGGCUAUAAUUGGGAUAUGACCUGUGGAAACCUUGACUGGCUUUCUCACCUUCCUUCGUUAACACACCUUGACUUGCGUUGGGUUAGUCUUAGUAAAGCAAUCCAUUGGCCCCAAGCAAUUAAUAAAAUGCCUUCCCUAACUGAGUUAUACUUGAGUGGUACUCAGCUUCCUCCGAUUAUUCCAACAAUAUCCAUUUCCCAUAUUAAUUCUUCUACUUCUCUUGCUGUGCUUCAUCUCUCCUCGAAUGGUCUCACUUCUUCAAUAUACCCAUGGUUGUUCAACUUCAGUAGCAGCCUUGUUCAUCUUGACCUCUCUUGGAAUGAUCUAAAUGGUUCAAUUCCGGAUGCUUUUGGAGACAUGACUACUCUGGCACACCUUGACCUUUAUUCUAGUCAUCUAAAUGGAUCAAUUCCGGAUGCUUUUGGAAACAUGACUACUCUGGCAUAUCUUCAUCUCUCUAGGAACGAGCUACGUGGUUCAAUUCCGGAUGCUUUUGGAGACAUGACUACUCUGGCAUAUCUUGAUCUCUCUAGGAACAAGCUACAUGGUUCAAUUCCGGAUGCUUUUGGAGACAUCACUACUCUGGCAUAUCUUGAUCUCUUUUGGAACGAGCUACGUGGUUCAAUUCCGGAUGCUUUUGGAAACAUGACUACUCUGGCAUAUCUUGAUCUCUCUUUGAAUCAACUUGAAGGACUUCAGCUGGGUUGCAUCUCAAGGAUUAGUAGGUGAUAUAUGCUUUUGAGUAACGGGAGUAUUUAUGAUGGGAUAGUUACAUGCCUUAAUGCAAAAGCCUGCCAUCGGAUAAAUGACAUCGGCAUGUAUUAAGUUUGCUUAUUUGUAAUCAACUUAUGGAAGAAGCUAGAGCUGUUGGAGAAGAAAGUGCUCUUCAUGUUUGCUCAAACAAUUCAGAGGGAAGUUUAGUGAGACAAUUUUUAACUUUAUUUCCAUUUACUCUUUGUCAUGAGAGCAAUUUUUUGUGCAUAAUUGGAGCUUGAGCUUUUGCUUUGGUAGUUGUGAAGUUGCAAACUAUUAUUGGAAUAAGAAGUCUCUACUUUUGCUUGUUACUGAACAUGGAUAUUUUUUUUUUAAGAAGUAAAUUUGCUAAUUAGUGUUUUUUUUCUUAGGCACCUAAGAAAAGAGUAUGUACUUUUAGCAAAGACCAAGAGGAAACUAUUAGAGCUUUAUUUGAGUAGUGAGUGCUUAAUUUGUUCUUUUUGGUGGCAUAUGCAUGUAGUCUUAAAUUUGAUUUCCUUCUGCAUAAUCAAUGCUGAAUAUUGUG